AUGCUAGCCCAGGGAAUCAUCCAGCCAAGUGUGAGCCCGUUUGCCUCUCCAGUCUUGCUAGUGCAGAAAAAAGACCUGACUUGGCGCUUUUGUGUGGAUUAUCGACACCUCAAUGCAAUCACAAUCAAGAACCGUUAUCCUCUUCCAGUUAUUGACGAGCUCGCAGGAACCCGGGUGUUCACCAGUCUAGACUUGCGGGCAGGUUACCACCAAAUCCGGAUGCCACCUGAGGACGAGCACAAGACGGCAUUCAAGACACACCAUGGUCACUUUGAGUUCAAAGUCCUGCCUUAUGGCGUCACCGGUGGUCCGCCAACCUUUCAGGGGGGCAUGAACAUA
rnacentral:rRNA from 1 species